UUUAUUAUCUUCCCUUGACUGACAUUCUUUGUUUCUGGGUACACAUUGAAGAUGUUGAAUACCCCUCUAUACCCAGGUUCACAUGUUCUCACUUCCAGCAAUCAGGAGGACUGACUAGCAGUUCUGAUUUCAAAAAUGACAAGUAUAUUACUGGUUUACCUUGAGUCAAGUAUCAACCCUGGUUCAAUAAAUGGUGACCAUGGGGACUAGGUCACAA
rnacentral:lncRNA from 1 species